GGAGCCUGUGGGGACAUCAUGGGAAACAGCAAGUCAGUGCCCAGCCUGGCACACACAGCUCAGACCCCGAGACCCCCUCGCUGACUUCCAUCUCAUCGCUCUGGCCUUGGCAGACCCAGCAGAUGGGCUCUCAGCAGAGCCCUGGAACUCAGCCGAGCUGGGCUCUGCUGGCACAGGACAGCUCUCCACUCUUGAGCCCGACAGAGCUCCCCAGACCAGGAAAUUCUGGAUCAUGAAGCUCAAAGGAACCUUACCAGAUGCUGGCCUGGGUGCUGGAAUAUGGAAAUGAGGAAGAUCCUGCCUGAGGAUUUCAUGACAGUGCUGCGAUUACCGACGUGAGCCACUGUGCCCAGCCUCACUUUAAAAAAAAAAAAAGGUUAUGAAGCAUCUCAACACAAGACCUCCUUUGCUCAUCACAACCACCCAGUGAAGCAGGCAAGACAACAGAAACUCCCCACCUGUGAUAGAUGUGAGGCCUGAAGUCUCCCACAUACCCACGGCAGAUGCAACGCACAGCGGUGACCAAUGGUGAAGGAUCUAAAACCUGAAAAGAGGCCAAAUGAUUCCUCAAAACCACGCAAGUACGAAGUAGCAGAGCGGAUCUCAAAUCCAGAAUACUACUAAAGUCAUGCCGUGUGACUUCUGAAGCUAGCUCCUAAGAAGUCCUUGCAGCUUCUGCCUGCGACUCUUAGAACACUUGCUUUGAAGGAUGCCAGAUGCUGUCUUAAAAGUCUGAGCACUCUGAAACCAUCAUGCUGUGAGGAAGCCCAAGCUAACCACAUGGGCAAAAAAGAUGCCCUCUGACUGCCACCAUUUGAGACACUCUAAUUAAGAACUGCCUCAUUGAGCCCAUGAGGCCCUGUGAAUGAUAAUAAUAAAUUGUUUUUAACCACUAUGUUUUUGGAUUUGUUAUAAGUUUAUAGAUAACAAGAAAAAGUUAUAUUAGCAUGGUAAUAAAAUUAUGGAUAUGUGUAA
rnacentral:lncRNA from 1 species